rnacentral:rRNA from 1 species
UACGUAGGGGGCAAGCGUUGCCCGGAUUUAUUGGGCGUAAAGAGCGUGUAGGCGGCCUGAAAGGUCAGCUGUGAAAACUCGAGGCUCAACCUCGAAACGUCGGUUGAAACCAUCUGGCUAGAGUCCGGAAGAGGAGUGUGGAAUUCCCGGUGUAGCGGUGAAAUGCGCAGAUAUCGGGAAGAACACCCGUGGCGAAGGCGGCACUCUGGGACGGUACUGACGCUGAGACGCGAAAGCGUGGGGAGCGAACAGG